rnacentral:rRNA from 1 species
AGAGUUUGAUCAUGGCUCAGGAUGAACGCUGGCGGCGUGCCUAACACAUGCAAGUCGAGCGAUUCUCUUCGGAGAAGGGCGGCGGACGGGUGAGUAACGCGUGGGUAACCUGCCUCAUACACAUGGAUAACAUACCGAAAGGUAUGCUAAUACAAGAUGAUAUAAGAGAUUCGCAUGGAUUUCUUAUCAAAGCUCCGGCGGUAUGAGAUGGACCCGCGUCUGAUUAGCUAGUUGGUAAGGUAACGGCUUACCAAGGCGACGAUCAGUAGCCGACCUGAGAGGGUGAUCGGCCACAUUGGAACUGAGACACGGUCCAAACUCCUACGGGAGGCAGCAGUGGGGAAUAUUGCACAAUGGGCGAAAGCCUGAUGCAGCAACGCCGCGUGAGCGAUGAAGGCCUUCGGGUCGUAAAGCUCUGUCCUCAAGGAAGAUAAUGACGGUACUUGAGGAGGAAGCCCCGGCUAACUACGUGCCAGCAGCCGCGGUAAUACGUAGGGGGCUAGCGUUAUCCGGAUUUACUGGGCGUAAAGGGUGCGUAGGUGGUUUCUUAAGUCAGGAGUGAAAGGCUACGGCUCAACCGUAGUAAGCUCUUGAAACUGGGAGACUUGAGUACAGGAGAGGAAAGUGGAACUCCUAGUGUAGCGGUGAAAUGCGUAGAUAUUAGGAGGAACACCAGUAGCGAAGGCGGCUUUCUGGACUGUAACUGACACUGAGGCACGAAAGCGUGGGGAGCAAACAGGAUUAGAUACCCUGGUAGUCCACGCCGUAAACGAUGAGUACUAGGUGUCGGGGGUUACCCCCCUCGGUGCCGCAGCUAACGCAUUAAGUACUCCGCCUGGGGAGUACGCUCGCAAGAGUGAAACUCAAAGGAAUUGACGG